GACGAACGCUGGCGGCGUGCUUAACACAUGCAAGUCGAACGGAAAGGCCCUGCUUUUGUUGGGUGCUCGAGUGGCGAACGGGUGAGUAACACGUGAGUAACCUGCCCUUUACUUUGGGAUAACUUCAGGAAACUGGGGCUAAUACCGGAUAGGAGCUCCUGCUGCAUGGUGGGGGUUGGAAAGUUUCGGCGGUUGGGGAUGGACUCGCGGCUUAUCAGCUUGUUGGUGGGGUAGUGGCUUACCAAGGCUUUGACGGGUAGCCGGCCUGAGAGGGUGACCGGCCACAUUGGGACUGAGAUACGGCCCAGACUCCUACGGGAGGCAGCAGUGGGGAAUAUUGCACAAUGGGCGGAAGCCUGAUGCAGCAACGCCGCGUGCGGGAUGACGGCCUUCGGGUUGUAAACCGCUUUCGCCUGUGACGAAGCGUGAGUGACGGUAAUGGGUAAAGAAGCACCGGCUAACUACGUG
rnacentral:rRNA from 1 species